rnacentral:piRNA from 1 species
UCUCAACUGUCCGGGUCCUCUGUCUACU